UUCCGGUUGAUCCUGCCGGACCUGACUGCUAUCGGAUUGAUACUAAGCCAUGCGAGUCAUUGUAGCAAUACAAGGCAUACGGCUCAGUAACGCGUAGUCAACCUACCCUAUGGACGGGAAUAACCUCGGGAAACUGAGAAUAAUGCCCGAUAGAACAUUAUGCCUGGAAUGGUUUAUGUUCCAAAUAAUUUAUUGCCGUAGGAUGGGACUGCGGCCUAUCAGUUUGUUGGUGAGGUAAUGGCCCACCAAGACUAUUACAGGUACGGGCUCUGAGAGGAGUAGCCCGGAGAUGGGUACUGAGACACGGACCCAGGCCCUAUGGGGCGCAGCAGGCGAGAAAACUUUGCAAUGUGCGAAAGCACGACAAGGUUAAUCCGAGUGUUUUCUGCUAAAGAAAUCUUUUGUCAGUCGUAAAACCACUAACGAAUAAGGGGUGGGCAAGUUCUGGUGUCAGCCGCCGCGGUAAAACCAGCACCUCAAGUGGUCAGGAGGAUUAUUGGGCCUAAAGCAUCCGUAGCCUGCUGCAUAAGUUUUCGGUUAAAUCCAUACGCUCAACGUAUGGGCUGCCGGGAAUACUGUGCAGCUAGGGAGUGGGAGAGGUAGACGGUACUCGGUAGGAAGGGGUAAAAUCCUUUGAUCUAUCGAUGACCACCUGUGGCGAAGGCGGUCUACCAGAACACGUUCGACGGUGAGGGAUGAAAGCUGGGGGAGCAAACCGGAUUAGAUACCCGGGUAGUCCCAGCCGUAAACUAUGCAAACUCAGUGAUGCACUGGCUUGUGGCCAGUGCAGUGUUGCAGGGAAGCCGUUAAGUUUGCCGCCUGGGAAGUACGUACGCAAGUAUGAAACUUAAAGGAAUUGGCGGGGGAGCACCACAAGGGGUGAAGCCUGCGGUUCAAUUGGAGUCAACGCCGGG
rnacentral:rRNA from 1 species